AAAAUAUAAAUUGUUUGUG
rnacentral:piRNA from 1 species